rnacentral:rRNA from 1 species
UACGUAGGGGGCAAGCGUUAUCCGGAUUUACUGGGUGUAAAGGGAGCGUAGACGGCGAUGCAAGCCAGAUGUGAAAGCCCGGGGCUCAACCCCGGGACUGCAUUUGGAACUGUAUAGCUAGGGUGUCGGAGAGGCAGGCGGAAUUCCUAGUGUAGCGGUGAAAUGCGUAGAUAUUAGGAGGAACACCAGUGGCGAAGGCGGCCUGCUGGACGAUGACUGACGUUGAGGCUCGAAAGCGUGGGGAGCAAACAGG